GUGGGUAACCUGCCCAAGAGAUCGGGAUAACACCUGGAAACAGAUGCUAAUACCGGAUAACAACAGAUGAUGCCUAUCAACUGUUUAAAAGAUGGUUCUGCUAUCACUCUUGGAUGGACCUGCGGUGCAUUAGCUAGUUGGUAGGGUAACGGCCUACCAAGGCGAUGAUGCAUAGCCGAGUUGAGAGACUUAUCGGCCACAUUGGGACUGAGACACGGCCCAAACUCCUACGGGAGGCAGCAGCU
rnacentral:rRNA from 1 species